rnacentral:rRNA from 1 species
GACGUAGGGGGCCAGCGUUGUUCGGAAUUACUGGGUGUAAAGGGUUCGUAGGCGGUGUGGCAAGUCGGGAGUGAAAUCUCUGGGCUCAACCCGAGCAGGCUGCUUCCGAAACUGCUGUGCUUGAGUGUGGGAGAGGCGCGUGGAAUUGCAGGUGUAGACGGUGAAAUGCGUAGAUAUCUGCAGGAACACCCGUGGCGAAAGCGGCGCGCUGGACCACUACUGACGCUGAAGAACGAAAGCUAGGGGAGCAAACAGG